GCAGGGUGGAGGGAGAGAGAGAUGUAGCUGGCAGGCAACCUAUCUAAACUACAAACAUCAUGUGUUCUAUACCUCCUAUCCUGGAAGUUCUAGCUUUCUGCCCAGCCAUUCAGAAGAGCUCAAGGUGGCAUACAUGGAUGAAGUUACCCCUCUUUAUCCUCACAACAAUCCUGUGAGGUAAAUUAAGCCCUUCCAUGAUUGGCAGCCUGGGUUCAUUCAAACAGCAGCUCUACACAUGACCCAAAUGCUACCAUCCAAACCAGCUCUACAGUAUGUGUUUCACCAUCCCACAGCACUGGCUACUGCUAGUGGAGGGGCAGAAAGAACAAUCCAGCCAAUUACAGGCCCAUUAGCCUGCUCAACACAAAUAGCAAGCUCUAUGUGAGACAUCUGCAUUGGAAACUAUGGGACUGGCUGGAGAAGGAAAAUCUGCUGGUGGAGGAACAGGCUGGCUUCAGGGAAGGUCGAUCUACAAUGGGUCAGUGCCUACUACUCCAGCACCUUAUUGAAAAAUACUCUUGCUGCAACACAGCCUCCCUUUAUGCAGGCUUCAUCAACUUUAAAGCUUUUGACUGUAUCUCCUGAGUUAAAUUAUGGGAGAAGCUGGAGGCUUCUUCGAUUGACUGGCGACUGUUAUACUUAAUACGUAUGCCUUUUUUAAAAUGAUGUUUUUAUGAUGCCUUUUAAAAAUAUUUUUAC